GGGUGUUUAGCUCAGUUGGUUCAGAGCGCCGCCUUGACAGGGCGGAGGUCGGCAGUUCGAGCCUGCCAACACCCACCA
rnacentral:tRNA from 1 species